GACGAACGCUGGCGGCGUGCUUAACACAUGCAAGUCGAACGGAAAGGCCCUGCUUUUGUGGGGUGCUCGAGUGGCGAACGGGUGAGUAACACGUGAGUAACCUGCCCUUGACUUUGGGAUAACUUCAGGAAACUGGGGCUAAUACCGGAUAGGAGCUCCUGCUGCAUGGGGGGGGUUGGAAAGUUUCGGCGGUUGGGGAUGGACUCGCGGCUUAUCAGCUUGUUGGUGGGGUAGUGGCUUACCAAGGGUUUGACGGGUAGCCGGCCUGAGAGGGUGACCGGCCACAUUGGGACUGAGAUACGGCCCAGACUCCUACGGGAGGCAGAAGUGGGGAAUAUUGCACAAUGGGCGGAAGCCUGAUGCAGCAACGCCGCGUGCGGGAUGACGGCCUUCGGGUUGUAAACCGAUUUCGCCUGUGACGAAGCGUGAGUGACGGUAAUGGGUAAAGAAGCACCGGCUAACUACGUG
rnacentral:rRNA from 1 species